rnacentral:lncRNA from 1 species
GAAACCCAGAAAUUCGGCGUUAUUUUUUUUCAUGUCUCUGGUAUUAAACUGAUAAGACAUAACUUAAAUAGUUUUGGGUCUUCCCUUAGAUCUUAUCUCGUCAAGAAGCUGUCCAUAUAGCUCUUGCAAAACCUCAUAAACAGCCCACGUCUUCUCAUCUUCAAGCACAACCAUUCAGUAUUCAAAUAAUAAUAAUAAAACACAGCCAUUCCAGUGAGUCAUAUGAUGGAUAAUGAAUGCAGUUUCCAGAUUCCAGAUUAGGGGAACACCCCCGAACAAGUGAGCCUACAUCUGCAGACAACAAAGUGGACCUGACUUUCAAACCUAAAAGGAAGAGCAUUCCAUUCCCAGCUCUACAGACUUCGGAGCUAUAUCACCAGGGUCUUGCAUAAUAUGUUGUAAAUCGGAUACCUUUCCUUUGCAGUUUUUCCUUUUUCCAGCUUCAAAGCUGAAGCCUUGAUGUAAAACUUAAUGAAGUAUGAAUUUAUUGCCAUUUUCUUUCAGGGAAACUUUUAAUUGUACAUAUUUUGUGGCAGUUGUUUUUUUUUUGGUUCAACGUCAGUUGUGAUUUAUUUCUCAAGAAUUCGAAGAAUUGAUCUCUUCUUAGUUGAUUAUUGUAAGCGUCCCUCAAUGUGAAAAUGAAUAACAUUUGACAAAAGUCGAGACAAUUCUUCACUCUGUAAUUUGUAGGUACAUUGUAGAUGUUCCCAUUAUUUUCUAGAAAACUGAGUCCAAAGGUUUUUUUAUUUUAUUUUGAAACUACUUUAGAGUAGGAUAAAGUGAUCAAGUUCCUCAAAAGCAGAAUAGAA